CCGGCUGCCCUCCGCCGCCGCACAGUCGAAGUUGUACAGGUCCAGGUGCAGCAGCGGGGACUGCUCCCCGGGACGGGACGCCUCCCCGGGGGCCGCUGCUGCUGCCGCCCCACCGGGCGCCGGGCACGGCUGCGGAGGGGGCUCCGCUGGUGGCUCCACCAUGGCUGGGCCUGCGAGGGAGAAAGCGGUGGCGGGCAUCCGGGGCUCAGCAGAGGUAGAAAUACCGCUCAGCACAGAGGGCAUCAUCGCUGGUUGUGGAGCUGCAGAGCAUCUGUGCCACACAGUGGAGCAACUGGUUUUGUCAGGCAGAGGACAGCAGUAGCAAAUGCACGUUAGCCACUGUGUUACCGCUUCAGUGUUUUUCAGCAAUCUGUCAUUUAACUGCUAACACACGACUUAAUCUGCUUUGUUUCAAUAAGGAAGGAUGAGGCACUCAUCAAGGGGCUUCCAGGAUGGCCCAGGGCAAGGAUAGAGAGUGACAGAAAGACCCAGGAAAGGGCUAUGGAGUCCUCGUGAGAAAGCUGAGAGCUGCAGGCCAGUGGUGGUUUCAUAUUUUAUGGGUGAAGACUUUGAAUCAAGCUCAUCCCCAGUACCAAUGGACGCACACAGUGAUGAUGCAUCUGCAGUGAGUGGGCAAACUCCAGCAAUGAACCAUAUUGACUUAUCUAAUUUCAUUCAUUCAUCAUCAUCAUAGUCUGUAGGGGACGGUUAUAAAGCUUGGUGAUUAGCUAUGUGAAAAAUCCUCAGGCCAGGCAACAGCUUUCUGCUGUCUGAAGAGCCCAGCCCACUGGCCGAUGGCGCUAACCAUUAAUAGUAGCUGCAGCACGGUAGCUGUCGAGCCAUGGUUGUGUUCCCCCUUUAUGGAAAAUAUUGAGCUGGUAAGUGUGCAUGCCAGGUAAGGUGAGGGUUUCUUAGGGCUUUUGGCAGGUUGCUGUUUCAGCCUGCAGCGGGGCUGCAGUUGGGCCUUGAUCUUUCAGGUUUCCUUGUGGAUCUUCAGGAUUCCCCUAAGUGGUCUCCUAAACACAAUGGGAAGGGAAGUUAUCAGGAGGUUUGAGAAGCAGGCAGAUAUGACUUUAGGAGACUUUAACACACACUGUCUAAACACAGAGUCAUGUCCCCAUCUCAUCAGGAUAAGGGAGACUUGGGAUGGGGCAGGAGGAGACCUCUGGAGGAGCUGUAGAGGAUCACUACAUGACUAAUGAGUCAUUUUCCCCUACACACUUAUAAACCCUAAUUCUCUUUUGUUUGGAAAUGAGAGAAAUCUAUGCAUGCAGGCUGAGCAGUACUGUAAGGUUAGCCUCCUGCUUUAAUAAACAAUUUCCUCCUUUGCAUUGCUGUUAAUGAUAGCAAGAGAUGCAGGGCAGUGGAAAAUCGUGACUACAGAUAGUGGAGGUGGAAAUAUUUAUAUCAUGCUGACAAAUUCUUCUGUAUGCUCUUCAUUGCACACGUAUUAAUUAAUCUUUUCCAGUCCAGCUUUAAAACUGCCUGUACCUGGGUUUUCCCCCAAUCUCCUUGGGAGAGCUAUUUCACAACCUAUGAGAGCUCAUUGGUAAACUGUUAUUAGCUACUUUCUGCUUCCGUUUUUCUUCUUUUUUCAUUUUAUCUUCUCUUGUAAGUAAUUUGCCUUUUUUUUUUUGGCUAAACACCUCUCUCCUGCUUGGGUUUGUGCCUUACAAAUGUUUGUAAACCGUUUCCAUAUCCCCUCAGAGCCAAUGAAAACAUAUCCUCGCUGUGAACCGAUUCCCCGUGGUUGUGCAACCAGCUAUCGCCUUCCUUCUGAGCUCCUGCCAGCGCAUCAGGCCCUCCUGGCCACUGCUGCUAGUGGGCUCCUGUGGAGCAGCUGUGUACGCAGCCCUAGUGCCGACGUGGCACAGGCUGGCUUUCCUCUCCUCCGCAGGCGGCAGGAUGGGUGUUUGCUUCCCUCCUGUUCCACAAACUGCCUGCCCACACGAUGCAGGCAAAGCCUCCCUCCUGCCCUGGGUGGCAGGCACUUUUCUGCAGCCCCCUGCCAGGCGGUUGCAAACCAACUGCCCCAAGCCGAGGAAUCAUCCCGACUGCUCGUAGCCCGGAGGCUCUGCUUCAUGCUGUCAUCUGUGGCUGGCUCUCAGCCACUUUACGUGUCCCUAGGGAAAUGGAGCCUCUGGCUGGACAGAUGCAUGGAACAGGGACACAGAAAAGAGACGGGGCAUGAGGGGGUAGCUGGAGACAGCGACAUAUGGUGGGACACAGUGCGGAGCCACCGCCAGCAGCAAAAUGUUUGGCAGCCACUGGGGACAGACUUGUAUUACAAAUACAAUGUCUUUCCCUGUAAUGUAAAGCUGGAGUCUAAUGCUAGCACGUAAGCUGUGCUGAUGGUGAGUUGUUAAUAGCGUUCAUCUUGUUGGGUAAUGCUACAAUGUGCUGUUUGGUGUCUCAUCUCUGCUCCAGAAAGCAUCUAACUAAGGAUCUUACUGGUGCUUUUUGGGGACGCGCCGAGCAGCUGCCUACCUGGCUUUGUGCAGGUUUGGCACACCUGCAGUCAUCUUUGUAUUUGGGUACAACCUAUGCAGCUACCUGGGCUGCGUGAAAAAAUGUGGUAGGCUGGCAGACAGAAUUUUGAAAAUGAAGGAAAAAUCUUUGUCACUGCAUAUUUCCAUGGAAACAAGUAUAGAUGUGGGAGUAGGUUUUAUUUGCUUUUGGGGAUAUUCCACUGCCAGUGGCUAUUUUUGGAGAAAUUAGAAUACUGGCGUGUUUUGGACCAAACCAAAUUGGAGAUGAUGAUGCUGACCCUCGUGCAUCCAGUUCUCCUGGUCAGGCUCAGCUUGCUAUGGAGAGCUCACAGUCACGAGGGUGUUAUGGUGUGCCUGCACACAGUGAAUCAUGGAGGAUAGAUUUUCCCCAAGGUCAUAGAGCAGACUGAAGAUGCGGCAAACAAAUAGAUGAAUCACUCAGAAAUGAGUGUGAGGAUGUCUAAAGGACUGUGUUAUGCGAGAGGUCAGAGUGCACCACUGGAGUCCCUACAGAAAUUCUGUGGUUUGCUUUUUUCAUUAGACAAAAGGCAAACUUUUCUGCUAUUAAUUUUAAUGUUCACCAAAAUCCAGUUUGGACAGAUCUCAUUGUACCAUGUGCAGAAAUAUCCGUACUGUAGGCAGGGCUGUAGUGUGGCACUUCUUAGUUUUGGGCAGGGAAUGCCUUUGUGGUGGUGGUGUUCAGCACCUAGUGCAAGGGGUUUCUGAUCCCUGAUUGGGGUCCUACCACUAUUGUAACCCCAUUACUGCUAAGAUUAGUGGCAAGCAUUGACCCCAAACUGCCUCUAAUAAGCAUGAGCUAUUGAGUAUAAAAUCAACAGGAAUAAUGCACGUUAACUCCGGUUACAUUUUCAAGCUGAAGCUGAAAUGCAAUUACAUUCCAUUCAUUUAAUUGAAAACUGUUGUUUUUGAGCAAAUGAUCAGUCUUCCACGCUGUUUCAGUUUCUAAGCUGUGCUAUUUAUUCUAGCACAGCCUGGAAAUCACAACGUGAAACUAUUGAAGAACAGUGAAAUAUGACAUUGCUGGUGACAUUCUUCAGGGGGAGCAAAAUGCUAAGUGUAAUCAAGGAGAAUAAACUGUUAGAUUAAGACUGGAGAUUUUAAACUGUUUUACUUUUAAUUAAUCUCAGGUGUUUAUUAGCCCAAUAGUAAAAGAUUCUUUCUCUUCUUCCUGUAUGAUUUCUACCUUGACCAUGGCACGGAUUUUAUCGAUUAGGUAUAUUUCUCUCAUAUCUCCAGGGCAACUGCAAAAAUAUUCCUUCCCUCCUUCUUCCCCUUACAGAAGCCACCACCAAAACAUAAUUUUCCAUGGUACAGUAUUUAAUGUCCCGGUCUAAAUAUGAGCUAAUCAUGCAUUCCUAGAUUAGUCUUGCCUAACGGUGCAUUGCCAAGGAGCUUGGAGGCAGCAGGAGGAGAUUUGCCACUUGCUGCUGCUCUCAUCUGGGAGUAAAGGGCAGCAGAGUCAGGAGUUGGGAGCUGGCCCCUUCCUCACUUGGUUAGGUGUAUAGCCAUGCAUACGGAGUGUACAGGGGUUGCACUCAGCCUGCAUGGAUGUAAAUUACGGCCUGAGGAGAAAGACAAAGAAGUGUUAAGCCUGUGAUGCCUGCCUGCAGAAUUUAGGAGAAAAGAAAGAAAAAUAUCACACUUGCAGGGGCAGAGUGAUCACACAUAGGCAGUCACAUCACACGCCCAGAGAUGCAGUCGCCCAGGGCAAAGCUGCCCCUGCUGAUAAAACACUGGUUAUUGAGAACCGGAGCUACCAAGUCUUCCUUGACUACAGCCAAAAUAGCACUGAGGGGUAAACUCCAUCAGCAGUACUUCUGGUUAAUUACAGACUAAUGUCCUGCCACCCGAGUCCCACGUCACCCAAACCUCCUGGGGAAAGGAAACCAUUCCACCUGAAAAGUGAGAGACUGCAAUAGCACACAGUGCCAAAUACAUUUUUCUUUUCUAUUGGACUGGUACCUGGGAAUAAAGCCAGCUGGAAGACCUCUGGAAGGAAAUCUUCCUAACUCUGACCAUGCUUGCAAUCAGUUUAUAUGCCAGAUUUAGUCUCAGGAAAUAUGAAAAUCAGUGGACGGUUGUUUUAAUAUACAGCUCUGCAGCUUAAAAAGUGCUGAGUUUUUAUCGAAAGAAAAUGAAGGUUUACCGCUUCCUUGAGGUAUAUAGAGUCACUAUAUGUAGCCAAAUGGUGCAAGGUCAUGUGGAAAGAACAGAUGAGAAUCCAAGAAGUUAACAAAUGUCCCAUAACAAAAAUCUACUUUGUAACAGAAAAAUAUUUACAACUAUAUUUCAUUUUGAAGAAGAAUAAAUCAACAGAUGCUGACUUUUUAAUUAUGUUUUUUUGAUAAAAGGAGAACCUGUGAGUAAACUGGGUGCUUUUCACUGGAGAACCUGAAUGCGUAGUUCUCAUUGUAAAGAAAGAAGGGUUUAGGGUGAUGGGUAGUAGACAGGGACAGAUUCAGUCCUUUGCUUUGUCACUUUGCCUAAAUAAAUGCUAUGACUGAAUAUCUUUGGGGAUCUGGGCCUCCCUCUUUCAUCUUUAAGUAGGAAUAAUAGCACCUUCCCUAAGAGGUGCAUAGCCAAAGUGAUAGUGAAGUCGUCUGUUACAUAUAUUAGAUACAUUUGGCAGUGGGAUCUCAAACGGUUGGAAGGUAAUUUAAAUUAAUCACAGGAAUUUACGCUGAAGGGGAUCUUGUCCUUCACCUUCUUUGAAACAGGGUCCUACAGACAAGCAGAAGGGGUUCUAGCACACAGGCAAUGAUAGAACUACAAAAAUUAGCCCCUCUUGCUGGAAAUACCAGUGCUAUUGAAUGAAUAGUAGAGGGGGUAGAAGGGAUAUAUUCCAAGAAGAGUUUCAUAGUAUUGGUAUUUCACCUACAUGUGUAUCUAGGUCAGAUUCUGCAGUUUCUCUGCUUACACCAAGUUUCAGUGGACUCAGUAUUAGUUUUUGUUAUACCAUUUUUUCCUCUAACUCACAAGUUUUUUAGUGCAUUGUGGGGAUGGGAUUCAUGAAAUGGUGCCAAAUGAGCUGGUAAAGGCCCAUGAACACUGUGUGUUAUUCUGGCAUUAGGAAAUCCUGCAAUCAAACUCCGAUGUCGAGAAAAAUUAAAUAAAGUUUGAGAUGGUGGAGGUAGUUAGGAUGAUCAGAGAACCAAUAGGCUAGCCUUAGGAAAGUGUCAUGUUAGUGUCCUAACAGAGAUCUUUGAAAAAAGACCUCUAAAAAUGAAAUCUGAGGCAGGAUGUGGUAGAUCUUUAAAAAUCCACAGGGGAACAGACAACUUGUUCAUGCAGUGCCUUUAAUGCAUCCCGCAUUUUGCCGUGCUAACCCAGAGGCAUGUCACAGCCACCCUCAGAAAUGCAGGCUCUGAAGAAGCUGCUGCCCUGAAAGCUGGCGUGGUUUGGUUGUUGACUUCAAUGCGAACAAGACCUACAGGAAACUCCCUUUUCCUUGCUCUGAACAUUUAGCCCUUAAGUGAAGUGGAAUUAAUACCAUUGUGCUGAGUGGCUUGAAUCUAGCACAACUGGAGCAGAAGUCAAUUUGCUGUAUUUGAAAGAAAAUUAAUUAAGGCCUCGUUUGUUUCCCUCAGAGAAAAAAGCUCUGGGUAGUUUCCAGGAGAGGAUUUUCUUCCAGGCUCCUUCGGUUCAGGCCUCUCCGUACAUGACAAGCGUUGCAUGGCUCCAAGCCCCACGUCCCUAGGGGCUCUGGGGCUGCGAGCUGGGCCUUGCUGCAGCACCCUCCUGGAUGUGAGCUUCUCUGUUUUGCAUCCUUUCUGAACAGCUGGAGUGCCUGCCCUGAGUAUUAAGAAACGAGUGGUGCCCUGCUGAACAUGAAGAGUGUCUGUAGGCUCCAUCAUGGGAUCCAGGCCGCACUUCCCCUUCCCGGGGCUGGGCUGGGGCAUGCCCGCUGGCCCGGGCAUGAGUUCCUGCUUCAAUCGCUGUGACCUGCCCGUGGUGUCGGCUGCCCACAGGCUUCAUGUGCUCAGCUAGUGAAAGUGAAGCGCUUUGGGAAAAGUGCCCUCCUGUGCUCCACGUGGUGCAGCUCAGAGCCCUGGGCGCUCAUCGGCCACCUGGCUGCCUGGCACUGUGCCGCGUCGGCUGGUAUUGAGCCGUGGUGUGAGGGGGCUGCCGGGGGACAUGGGCCUUCCCCAAGGCCAGGGGGAGGUGCUUCCUGUUGAAUUCCUCUGGAGCAUCAGCUGCUGGCUGAAAAAAUGCCUUUACCAUGGUCAGACACCGGAACAGGCAUCCUGGUGUGCCGGCUGAUGCCCCGUGCCCGUCAGUGGCCAAGAGGUGUUUGGACAAUGCCCUCAGUAAUGUGCUUUAACUCCUGGGUAGCCCUGAGGUGAUCAAGCAGCUGGACUCGAUGAUCUUUGAAGGUCCCUUCCAAGUGAACUUCUCUGUUCUAUUCUCAGCGAUCUUCCUUAGUGAAAUUGGCAUUGUCCUUCAAUGCAGCCACUGCUUACACUACUCACCCUACAGCAGUGCCUGUGGAUAUCCAAGCACUCUGCACCUGGCUGUAAUGUAAUGUAAUUUUGAAGGUCCCUUCCAACCAAACUAUUCUGUUGUUAUCCUAUCCUAUCCUAUCCUGUCCUAUCCUAUCCUAUCCUAUCUUAUUUCUACUCUACUCUACUCUUGUAGUCCAUUC